rnacentral:rRNA from 1 species
CCCCUUUUGUGCAUCACCACGUGGGCCCCUCUUUGCAAGGAGGGCUUGCGUUCUCACAUAAAAACUCGAUACGGUGUAGAAUGGUUUUUCUUUUCUUUUGCGGUCACACGCAAUCAAUACAACUUUCAACAACGGAUCUCUUGGCUCUCGCAUCGAUGAAGAACGCAGCGAAAUGCGAUACGUAAUGUGAAUUGCAGAAUUCAGUGAAUCAUCGAAUCUUUGAACGCACCUUGCGCCCCUUGGCAUUCCGAGGGGCACACCCGUUUGAGUGUCGUGAAACCAUCAAAAACCCUUUAUUCUUUGAUCCUCAUUCGGUCGGGAAAAGGAGUUUUUGGACUUGGAGGUUCCAUGCUCGCUUUCACUUUUGAAAGUGAGCUCCUCUUAAAUGAAUUAGUGGGGUCUGCUUUGCCGAUCCUUGACGUGUUAAGAUGUUUCUACGUUUUGGACUUGGCACUGUUCCUCGGGCCACCCGCUCCCAACCGUCCACUUGGACAACCAUGGUGCUUCGGUCACCGCCAUCUUACAUCGGUGGUGGAAGGCUGGACCCAUAGAAAAGAACCUGACCUCAAA